UUUUGUUGGCAUCAGGGUCGUUUUUUGUUCCGUGUUUUGUACCUUAAUGUUGACUAGGUAUUGUAACAGAGAUUUUGAUGAUGAGAAGAUCCUUAUACAGCACCAAAAAGCAAAGCAUUUUAAAUGUCAUAUAUGCCACAAGAAAUUGUACACAGGACCUGGAUUAGCUAUUCAUUGCAUGCAGGUGCAUAAAGAAACCAUAGAUGCUGUACCAAAUGCAAUACCCGGGAGAACAGAUAUAGAGUUGGAAAUAUAUGGCAUGGAAGGUAUUCCAGAGAAAGAUAUGGAUGAAAGACGGCGACUUCUUGAACAGAAAACACAGGAGAGUCAAAAAAAAAAGCAACAAGAUGAUUCUGAUGAAUAUGAUGAUGAUGAAUCUGCAGCCUCAACUUCCUUUCAGCCGCAGCCUGUUCAACCUCAGCAAGGUUAUAUCCCACCGAUGGCCCAGCCAGGACUUCCACCAGUUCCAGGGGCACCAGGAAUGCCUCCAGGCAUACCUCCAUUGAUGCCAGGUGUUCCUCCCCUGAUGCCUGGCAUGCCUCCAGUUAUGCCAGGCAUGCCACCUGGAUUGCAUCAUCAGAGAAAAUACACCCAGUCAUUUUGCGGUGAAAACAUAAUGAUGCCAAUGGGUGGAAUGAUGCCACCUGGACCUGGAAUUCCACCUCUGAUGCCUGGUAUGCCACCAGGUAUGCCCCCUCCUGUUCCACGUCCUGGAAUUCCUCCAAUGACUCAAGCACAGGCUGUUUCAGCACCAGGUAUUCUUAAUAGACCACCUGCACCAACAGCAGCAGUACCUGCUCCACAGCCUCCAGUAACUAAACCUCUUUUCCCCAGUGCAGGACAGAUGGGGACACCUGUAACAAGCUCAAGUACAGCUUCAUCCAAUUCAGAAAGUCUGUCUGCAUCUUCUAAAGCUCUGUUUCCUAGCACAGCACAAGCUCAGGCAGCUGUACAAGGACCUGUUGGUACAGAUUUUAAGCCCUUAAACAGUACUCCAGCUACAACUACAGAACCCCCGAAGCCUACAUUCCCAGCGUAUACACAGUCAACAGCUUCAACCACUAGUACAACAAACAGUACUGCAGCAAAACCAGCAGCUUCAAUUACAAGUAAGCCUGCUACACUUACAACCACCAGUGCAACCAGUAAGUUGAUCCAUCCAGAUGAGGAUAUAUCACUGGAAGAAAGAAGGGCACAGUUACCUAAAUAUCAGCGUAAUCUUCCUCGACCAGGACAGACUCCAAUUGGUAAUCCACCAGUUGGACCAAUUGGGGGUAUGAUGCCACCGCAGCCAGGCAUCCCACAGCAGCAAGGAAUGCGCCCUCCAAUGCCACCUCAUGGUCAGUAUGGUGGUCAUCAUCAAGGCAUGCCAGGUUACCUCCCUGGCGCUAUGCCACCUUAUGGACAGGGACCACCAAUGGUGCCCCCUUACCAAGGUGGGCCUCCUCGACCUCCAAUGGGAAUGAGACCUCCUGUUAUGUCGCAAGGUGGCCGUUACUGAUCUUACUUCACCAAGUCUAAUAGCCCUGCCAUAGGACAGGCUGAGGCUGAGUCUCAGUGUUGCCCUGUUCAGUCUGAGCAGCAGAAUUUCAGCAUUUGCUACUUACUGGUAGAGAAGAAAAAUCCCACAGCCCUGCCAGUACAGGUUAGUUUAUUCUGUAAGUACCUGAUGUUCCUUUUUUUUUAACCCCCACCCCAACAUACCCAUUUUCCGCACAUAAAGAAGAAAGCUGCUGUGCAGUUAUUUAAAUGUGAGUAUAAAUAAUAGAUCCACUGGACAUUCAAACACUUGGACCAGAGUGAGUAGCUCUAGGGUUACUGACCUUAGGUGUAAUAAAGGCGCAAUGCUGCUCUUCAGUUUUCUGGUUGGUCCUGAACCUAUAUACAUGCCUUUUAGAUAAAAGAAGAGGGGAAAUACUUAGUCCAUCUAGUCCAUGGCUCCAGGUCCAAUGUCCUUAAUUAAAGUCACCCUUUACAUUCUACAGUGAAGUAGCUUAAUAAAAGACAGAUUUCCUCAAUUCUAGCAGUGAAAAAAAAUGGUAUACAAUUAUGGGAAGUUUUACUUAUUUACUUGGUAUUUACUCCUACAAAGUACACUGCUUCAAAUGUAAUACUUGUAAAUAAUUUAUCUCUGUACGCUAUAAAUUUACAUUAACGUGCCACUGGGUUCAUCACUGACAUGAAUACUCAGAAAUCUGCAUAGCUUUGCACACUUUUAAUCCAGAACACUGCAGGCAGAGGUAGAAAUGGUUUCAUUUUAGGGCCAGGCUGGGCUGUGUGAUGAUUCCCUGGCUUAAAAUAAGAGUCGGAUUCUUACGUAAUAUUUGGAGUUUAAUGAGGGAGUCAUAUAUUUGACAUUUGAACAGUGAAAGUAGAAAAAGUAAGUUGAAUGGUGAUUAGCUAUCCUAUUAUUAUUUUAUUUGGGGACAGUACAAUUUGUUUAAAAUUUUAAAUAUAAACAUCUAGCAGCCAGUAAUAAAAAUAUUGUAAAUUUUUUUCCGCUUUGUCUUUUGAUUGUAAAAUUGCCUGAGGGCUUAAGUUUGAUUGCCUUUCACAGUUUAAUCUAAGAAUGGCGUAGAUACAAUGGAAAUGGUUUUCCGUAUCUGUUUAGAGCUGCCUUUCUGGUGAGUACUGCUUUAUAAUUUUCAUAUCAUGGUUUGAUUUUUUUUUUUUUUAGCCUAGCUGUAACGUGGCAUUGAUCAAAGAGGUGAGAAGCCAGAAUUUUCACAGCUUGGGUUGUAAUUAGAUCUUUAGGCUGUUACUUCUUGAUAAGGGUUUUCACUCACUCUCUCUCUCUCACACACACAUAUACACGUUUUUCCUGAAGGACCAUAUGCAUGAAAAAGUUGAAAACAUACUCUUUUGGUGAGAAGAAAUGAUUGUAUUAUUUAAAAUUAGUAAUUGAAAUAUAGGGACAGGAGAGAUGCCUCAACAAUUAAGACCAUGUCAUAACCUCAGGUGUGGUGUAUGCCUUUAAUCCUAGCACUCAAGAGGGUCAGGCAAGUGGAUUUCUGGGAGUUCCAGGAAGCAUGGUCUACAUAGUGAGUUCAAGGAUAGCACGGGCUAUAUAGAAAAAUCUUGUCUCAAAAAGAAAAAAGAAAACCACAACAUGCUGCGAGUGGACCUAUGUUUGGUUCCCAUUAUCCAUGUCAGGUGACUAAAACCACGUAGGUCCAUGAGGAUCUUGGACAUAAUGUACUCGUGUGCAGAUACACAUAUGAAUAAGAAAUACAGCUUUAAAUAAAGAUUCCCCCACCCUCUUUUAAGUUGACAUAAAAACUUGUUCAGUGAUCCUUUUUUCUCACUGAAUAGGUGAAUGAAAUAAUGAAGGCAUAUUCUGUUCCAUGCAUGGAAAACUUGUGUAAAAAAUAUUGUUAGCAUCUUUGUGAAAAUUAGCCCACAAUACGUUUAUUCCUGUCUAGUUCAGUCAUUAGCCUGUGACAUAAGGAUUUCUUUCCCUCAUUUUUAGCCACAUUCUGGAUAAUACUAGUAUUCGUAUCUACAUUCCAUUUCUGCUAUGACCUUUGUGAAUCAAUAAAGUCAAUUCUGUUGCUUUUAGUAUAAACAAUACUAGUUUUCUAAAAUCUGGAAUUCAUGUUUUGAGUGUGUAUGGUAAUUCUAGAUAAGAUCUCAACAAAUCUUGAGUCUGAAUUUGUGUCUUUAAGAUUUAAAGUGAAAUAAAUUUCUAAGGAACUCUGUCCUUUCCUAGCAUGGAUAAGCAGGCUGACAGUUGGUAAGUAUGUAAUUUCAAAUGCAUGUAGUGGUAAGGGUGAAUUGCCAAAAUAUUCAAAGACAAUUAGAAGUGAAGGGAAAUUCCUGAAUCCUUCUAGGAACUUGAUAUGUAUAUCUAACAUUUUUUCCAAAAAUGUGUACUCAAAAUGAUUAAACUAAAAUGUACCUUA